GAAAUGCGAUAAGUAAUGUGAAUUGCAGAAUUCAGUGAAUCAUCUAAUCUUUGAACGCACAUUGCGCCCGCCAGUAUUCUGGCGGGCAUGCCUGUCCGAGCGUCAUUUCAACCAUCAAGCCCCCGGGCUUGUGUUGGGGACCUGCGGCUGCCCGCAGGCCCUGAAAACCAGUGGCGGGCUCGCUGUCACACCGAGCGUAGUAGCAAUCACCUCGCUCAGGGCGUGCUGCGGGUUCCGGCCGUUAAACAGCCUUACAAAACCCAAGGUUGACCUCGGAUCAGGUAGGAAGACCCGCUGAACUUAAGC
rnacentral:misc_RNA from 1 species